rnacentral:rRNA from 1 species
GAUGAACGCUGGCGGCGUGCCUAAUACAUGCAAGUCGAGCGAACGGACGAGAAGCUUGCUUCUCUGAUGUUAGCGGCGGACGGGUGAGUAACACGUGUAUAACCUACCUAUAAGACUGGGAUAACUUCGGGAAACCGGAGCUAAUACCGGAUAAUAUUUUGAACCGCAUGGUUCAAAAGUGAAAGACGGUCUUGCUGUCACUUAUAGAUGGAUCCGCGCUGCAUUAGCUAGUUGGUAAGGUAACGGCUUACCAAGGCAACGAUGCAUAGCCGACCUGAGAGGGUGAUCGGCCACACUGGAACUGGGACACGGUCCAGACUCCUACGGGAGGCAGCAGUAGGGAAUCUUCCGCAAUGGGCGAAAGCCUGACGGAGCAACGCCGCGUGAGUGAUGAAGGUCUUCGGAUCGUAAAACUCUGUUAUUAGGGAAGAACAUAUGUGUAAGUAACUGCGCACAUCUUGACGGUACCUAAUCAGAAAGCAACGGCUAACUACGUG